rnacentral:rRNA from 1 species
GACGAACGCUGGCGGCGUGCUUAACACAUGCAAGUCGAACGGAAAGGCCCUGCUUUUGUGGGGUGCUCGAGUGGCGAACGGGUGAGUAACACGUGAGUAACCUGCCCUUGACUUUGGGAUAACUUCAGGAAACUGGGGCUAAUACCGGAUAGGAGCUCCUGCUGCAUGGUGGGGGUUGGACAGUUUCGGCGGUUGGGGAUGGACUCGCGGCUGAUCAGCUGGUUGGUGGGGUAGUGGCUUACCAAGGCUUUGACGGGUGGCCGGCCUGAGAGGGUGACCGGCAUAAGGGGCACUGAGAUACGGCAGAGAGUCGUACGGGAGGCAGCAGUGGGGAAUAUUGCACAAUGGGCGGAAGCCUGAUGCAGCAACGCCGCGUGCGGGAUGAUGGCCUGCGUGUGGUAAACCGCUUUCGCCUGUAACGAUGCGUGAGUGACGGUAAUGUGUGAAGAAGCAUCGGCUAACUACGUG